AUUGAACGCUGGCGGCAGGCCUAACACAUGCAAGUCGAACGGUAACAGGAAGCAGCUUGCUGCUUUGCUGACGAGUGGCGGACGGGUGAGUAAUGUCUGGGAAACUGCCCGAUGGAGGGGGAUAACUACUGGAAACGGUAGCUAAUACCGCAUAACGUCGCAAGACCAAAGAGGGGGACCUUAGGGCCUCUUGCCAUCGGAUGUGCCCAGAUGGGAUUAGCUAGUAGGUGGGGUACCGGCUCACCUAGGCGACGAUCCCUAGCUGGUCUGAGAGGAUGACCAGCCACACUGGAACUGAGACACGGUCCAGACUCCUACGGGAGGCAGCAGUGGGGAAUAUUGCACAAUGGGCGCAAGCCUGAUGCAGCCAUGCCGCGUGUAUGAAGAAGGCCUUCGGGUUGUAAAGUACUUUCAGCGGGGAGGAAGGGAGUAAAGUUAAUACCUUUGCUCAUUGACGUUACCCGCAGAAGAAGCACCGGCUAACUCCGUG
rnacentral:rRNA from 1 species